AGAGUUUGAUCCUGGCUCAGGAUGAACGCUGGCGGCGUGCCUAAUACAUGCAAGUCGAGCGAACGGACGAGAAGCUUGCUUCUCUGAUGUUAGCGGCGGACGGGUGAGUAACACGUGGAUAACCUACCUAUAAGACUGGGAUAACUUCGGGAAACCGGAGCUAAUACCGGAUAAUAUUUUGAACCGCAUGGUUCAAAAGUGAAAGACGGUCUUGCUGUCACUUAUAGAUGGAUCCGCGCUGCAUUAGCUAGUUGGUAAGGUAACGGCUUACCAAGGCAACGAUGCAUAGCCGACCUGAGAGGGUGAUCGGCCACACUGGAACUGAGACACGGUCCAGACUCCUACGGGAGGCAGCAGUAGGGAAUCUUCCGCAAUGGGCGAAAGCCUGACGGAGCAACGCCGCGUGAGUGAUGAAGGUCUUCGGAUCGUAAAACUCUGUUAUUAGGGAAGAACAUAUGUGUAAGUAACUGUGCACAUCUUGACGGUACCUAAUCAGAAAGCCACGGCUAACUACGUGCCAGCAGCCGCGGUAAUACGUAGGUGGCAAGCGUUAUCCGGAAUUAUUGGGCGUAAAGCGCGCGUAGGCGGUUUUUUAAGUCUGAUGUGAAAGCCCACGGCUCAACCGUGGAGGGUCAUUGGAAACUGGAAAACUUGAGUGCAGAAGAGGAAAGUGGAAUUCCAUGUGUAGCGGUGAAAUGCGCAGAG
rnacentral:rRNA from 1 species